rnacentral:rRNA from 1 species
UACAGAGGGUGCGAGCGUUAAUCGGAAUUACUGGGCGUAAAGCGUGCGUAGACGGCUAUCUAAGUCGGGUGUGAAAGCCCCGGGCUCAACCUGGGAAUUGCAUUCGAGACUGAAUAGCUAGGGUACGGUAGAGGGAAGUGGAAUUUCCGGUGUAGCGGUGAAAUGCGUAGAUAUCGGAAGGAACAUCAGUGGCGAAGGCGGCUUCCUGGCCUGUUCUUGACGCUGAGGCGCGAAAGCUAGGGGAGCAAACGGG